GAAAGUACGGCAGAAGGACUGACGGAGUGCGUCAGCGUAAUAGAAUGUGCAGGGCCGAGAACAUAAUUGCGAUGCCAUGCUGCUGCGCCUUCGAUUGCCGCAACAGACACAGCGAGGGCAAAAAGCUUUUUGCUUUGCCGUCCGGCGGGCGCUACGCAAAAAGAAGUGUGGAGUCGCAGGAUCGGGCGGGCUGACUUCGAGGAAGUGGCAAAGAACGCACGGCUCAGUGAAUUUCGUCUUGCGGUGAAAUGCACGCAUCUGCAGCUGGCCUGUGACAUAAAAGCGACUUUAUUCAUGGCACAUCCGGCAGCGUGCACUCCACCAUCUGUACCUGAGGGGACACCUCGCGCAAGUCGUCCACCGCCUUCGCCAAGAGCUG